GGGGACGUGGCUCAGCUGGUAGAGUGCUUGCCUUGUGUAUGCAGGAAACCCUGGGUUCCAUCCCCAGCACCCA
rnacentral:tRNA from 1 species